CCUUUGUUUACAUAGAAAUCACAAGCGUUUAGCUUUAUUUACUAAUUUAGACAUUUAUUUUUUACUUUUUUUACGAUGUAAAAAAACGUCAUAAUGACUACGCUAGUCCAAGACACACCCAAAUGUUUGCUAUUGAAGAAACUUAAAAAUUAUUCUAUAAUUUAUCACAAAUAAAUUGUGACAAUGAUUUAUGAUUAUGAAGAUUUUGUUUUUGAUAACAUCAAAUUAUAAACAUUACAUAGAUCUAUGUCUAUAUAUAUCUAGGACUUGGUAAAGUUGCAUCACUUUUUGUCAGAGUCCAAAGCCUUUCUGUUUCAUUUGUAGAAACUGAUCAAGUUGAGAAUAAUAUUUCACUGAAAUGUAGUUGGACUAUUCA